GACGAACGCUGGCGGCGUGCUUAACACAUGCCAGUCGAACGGAAAGGCCCUGCUUUUGUGGGGUGCUCGAGUGGCGAACGGGUGAGUAACACGUGAGUAACCUGCCCUUGACUUUGGGAUAACUUCAGGAAACUGGGGCUAAUACCGGAUAGGAGCUCCUGCUGCAUGGUGGGGGUUGGAAAGUUUCGGCGGUUGGGGAUGGACUCGCGGCGUAUCAGCUUGUUGGUGGGGUAGUGGCUUACCAAGGCUUUGACGGGUAGCCGGCCUGAGAGGGUGACCGGCCACAUUGGGACUGGGAUACCGCCCAGACUCCUACGGGAGGCAACAGUGGGGAAUAUUGCACAAUGGGCGGAAGCCUGAUGCAGCAACGCCGCGUGCGGGAUUACGGCCUUCGGGUUGUAAACCGCUUUCGCCUGUGACGAAGCGUGAGUGACGGUAAUGGGUAAAGAAGCACCGGCUAACUACGUG
rnacentral:rRNA from 1 species